rnacentral:rRNA from 1 species
UACGAAGGGGGCUAGCGUUGUUCGGAAUUACUGGGCGUAAAGCGUGCGCAGGCGGCUUCUCAAGUCAGGGGUGAAAGCCCAGAGCUCAACUCUGGAACUGCCUUUGAAACUGAGAGGCUUGAGUACGGGAGAGGUGAGUGGAAUUCCCAGUGUAGAGGUGAAAUUCGUAGAUAUUGGGAAGAACACCGGUGGCGAAGGCGGCUCACUGGCCCGUAACUGACGCUCAUGCACGACAGCGUGGGGAUCAAACAGG